UGGGGAAUCUUGCACAAUGGGCGAAAGCCUGAUGCAGCAACGCCGCGUGAGCGAAGAAGGCCUUUGGGUCGUAAAGCUCUGUCCUAAGGGAAGAAGGAAGUGACGGUACCUUAGGAGGAAGCCCGGCUAACUACGUGCC
rnacentral:rRNA from 1 species